GUCGCCGAAGAGCGAACACCCCAAACAAUCCCGAAGCGCCACCAAAAAAAAAAAAAAAAAAAAAAAAAAAAAAAAAAAAAAAAAAAAAAGAAAAAAAACCCCGCCGGAUCCGACCGCCACUUUCAAAACCCCCCACCGCUCUAGAACCGCGGGAGCUUCCGUCCCUGAGUAGAAUUCGAGGGUGUAAAGAAGAGGAAGGGGAAAAAUAUCUUGUACCAGCCCAGGGGUGAAGAAGCCCCCGGCCUGAGAAAGAAGGAGUGGGGGAGGCGAACAGUCUCGUUGCUGCCUCUGUGUACGCUGAGGGGGGAGGAAUUGUCUUAGAAGAAAGAAGAGUAGUGAAGAAGUUCUUACUGCAGAAGAUUGUGAAAAUGUCUAUCAUCUGGUUUAUUCAGCUCACCGGCCAGUAGCAGUAGCAGCUGGAGAAUUUCUCUACAAAAAGCUCUUCAGUCGUAGAGAUCCAGAGGAGGAUGGAAUGAUGAAAAGAAGAGGAAGACAAGGUCCAAAUGCCAACCUUGUUAAGACAUUGGUUUUUUUCUUUCUAGAAAGUGAGUUACAUGAGCAUGCAGCAUACCUUGUGGAUAGCAUGUGGGACUGUGCUACUGAGCUGCUGAAAGACUGGGAAUGUAUGAAUAGCUUGUUACUGGAAGAGCCACUUAGUGGAGAGGAAGCACUAACAGAUAGGCAAGAGAGUGCUCUGAUUGAAAUAAUGCUUUGUACCAUUAGACAAGCAGCUGAAUGUCAUCCUCCCGUGGGAAGAGGGACAGGAAAAAGGGUGCUUACAGCAAAGGAAAAGAAGACACAGUUGGAUGAUAGGACAAAAAUCACUGAGCUUUUUGCCGUGGCCCUUCCUCAGUUAUUAGCAAAA
rnacentral:sRNA from 1 species